AAUUGUAGUGAAUUUUACCAUCGGGUUCUGGAUUAAAUAAAUAACCACAAUAUAUUAAAUACAUAUCCAUUGUUGUUAUAUGUACCUGUACCUUACCGAAGUUGGACGUCUUAUUUAUCCGUCAGACUUUGGAGAUAUGUUGAACGAUGUCUUUGAUACAGUGAACAUAUUGUCUUACGUGUGUGGUUCUGAGAUCCGGUGAAAAAUGUUGGAGCAGAGCAGACCGGAAAAGAUUUGAAUUGAAAUGAAAUGAAAAUUGAACAAGGACAUAAAAACAAACGUAAUUCUUUUUAAAAAUGUCUUCAUUUCUUAUUCGUGUUGUGUAUUUUUUUUUCUGCGUCACUCGGUACCUUUGUGUUCCAAUGAACCACCUCGGGAGCAUUUAUUUUGGAAUAGUGCACAAUUAUAUCAUGAUUAAAGUGAAUUAAAAUUUUCUUGCUCGCUGAUUGAUUUAAGAGUACAAAGAUUGCGUUUGUCAUAAAGAACCCGAAGCACUGAGAAUGGUUUCAUUUUUUAAAAAAUAUUGACGACUUCAAUUUCAUGCGUUAGUCAUCAGCAGCUAAACAAGGUCUUAAUUAAACUGAAAAAAACAAAAUCUGUUUGUCUUUAAUAUCUGUGCCUUAGUCAUAUCAGGGUAACUCUAUGCAAUA